CAAUGUUGGUUUUCAGCCUUGCUGCUUAUGUGCAGAGAUUUAUCCAGAUUCUCUGAAUUUUUUUGAUGGCAUCAUUGACUGUGGAUGAUGAAAUCCCUUAAUUUCUUGCAAUUGUAUAUUAAGAACUGUUGUUCCUAACUGUUGGACUAUUUGUUCAUGCAGUUGUGGUGAACCUUGCCUCAUCCUUGCUUGUGAAUGACUGAGCCUUUCGGGAAUGCUCCUUUUUUUACCCAAUAAUGGCACUUAUCUGUUUCCAAUGUUCCAGACAGGUGUUUUUUGAGCAGUCCUCCUAUGUGCAGAAACGUGUGCCAUCAGAAAUUAAAUUUGAAUUGCUCAGACUAAAUCUUUCUUUGUGUAAUUUUAAAUUAUUCAUGAUGUUUUCACCACAACGAAACCACGUGAGGGCUGACUUGACCGUCAUUUUCGAAGUGGAGGCAUCUGGCCUGACCACAGUACGUUAUACAUACACAUAAUGCUAUUAGUGACAUAGUUUCCAUCUCAAGUAAAUACAGCCACCUUAUAUUUGGGGACUAACACUGUUUAUUUAAUGAUAACUAAUAAUGACAUAAUCAUUUGAAAGUAAUUACCGAAUAACAGUCAAUAGCUAAUAACUACAAUGACAAACCAUUUGCCAAUAAUCAGCAUUUGCUUCGGCAAAAACAGCAGCAGCCAGCGUGGCAGCAUCUUAGGGGCUUUUACUGCUGGUCUGGCACGCUGUUGCACCCUCCGGUGGCGGAAGUACUAUUUCUAGUUGCUACUGCCACGAACUGAGCUUGCUGUCUCUGAGACUCUAAGGACCGACUACGCCAAAAACAAAACCGAAUUAAUCUACUCUUAUGUGUGCCACAAAAUGGGCAAAAUUCCACUCGAUUGCUGUCCAUCUUGGGUAACCAUGAGCGCUCCCGUUAUCACUUCCGUGUCAGCGUCGGAGUUGGGUGAGAGGUGAUCAGGGAGUAGAGAACGUGGACAGCCAAAUACAUGUUCACCGUCUGUGAUCGAGGGAGCUUUAUGUCUGGAAAAAGUCCAUAAUGAAAGAAUUGAGCGUUUGUGGUGGGAUGUCAGGACAUGUGUGACAUCAAAGUAUUACAACGAACUCCAUCUAAUGGAGAAGAUGUGCAUGGAGCAGUGGUGGUUCCUGAAUUUGACUCCCCAAUAACUGAAGACCAGCUGGUGGAAUGUCAGAAUCUCAUCAAUGUCCACCAAGAUCUGGACAGCAGGAGCUUGUACCUCCUGUGUCGCAAAUAUCUGGCUACUUCAAAUGCGUAAUUCAUAAAAUGUUUAGAUUUGAA